AAAAGAAACUAACAAGGAUUCCCCUAGUAACGGCGAGCGAACCGGGAAGAGCUCAAAUUUGUAAUCUGGCGUCCUCCGGGCGUCCGAGUUGUAAUCUAUAGAAACGUUUUCCGCGCCAGACUGUGUCCAAGUCCCUUGGAAUAGGGUAUCAAAGAGGGUGACAAUCCCGUGCUUGACACAACCACCGGGGCUAUGUGAUACGUUUUCUACGAGUCGAGUUGUUUGGGAAUGCAGCUCAAAAUGGGUGGUAAAUUCCAUCUAAAGCUAAAUAUUGGCGAGAGACCGAUAGCGAACAAGUACCGUGAGGGAAAGAUGAAAAGCACUUUGGAAAGAGAGUUAAACAGUACGUGAAAUUGUUAAAAGGGAAACGAUUGAAGUCAGUCGUGUCUAUUGGGUUCAGCCGGGUCUCCCGGUGUAUUCCCUUUAGAUGGGUCAACAUCAGUUUGGACCGACGGAUAAUGGCUGGAGGAAGGUAGCACCCUCGGGUGUGUUAUAGCCUCCUGUCGCAUACGCCGGUCUGGACUGAGGAAUGCAGCUCGCCUUUAUGGCAGGGGUUCGCCC
rnacentral:rRNA from 1 species